rnacentral:rRNA from 1 species
GUCGAGCGAACAGACGAGGAGCUUGCUCCUCUGACGUUAGCGGCGGACGGGUGAGUAACACGUGGAUAACCUACCUAUAAGACUGGGAUAACUUCGGGAAACCGGAGCUAAUACCGGAUAAUAUAUUGAACCGCAUGGUUCAAUAGUGAAAGACGGUUUUGCUGUCACUUAUAGAUGGAUCCGCGCCGCAUUAGCUAGUUGGUAAGGUAACGGCUUACCAAGGCAACGAUGCGUAGCCGACCUGAGAGGGUGAUCGGCCACACUGGAACUGAGACGCGGUCCAGACUCCUACGGGAGGCAGCAGUAGGGAAUCUUUCGCAAUGGGCGAAAGCCUGACGGAGCAACGCCGCGUGAGUGAUGAAGGUCUUCGGAUCGUAAAACUCUGUUAUUAGGGAAGAACAAAUGUGUAAGUAACUAUGCACGUCUUGACGGUACCUAAUCAGAAAGCCACGGCUAACUACGUGCCAGCAGCCGCGGUAAUACGUAGGUGGCAAGCGUUAUCCGGAAUUAUUGGGCGUAAAGCGCGCGUAGGCGGUUUUUUAAGUCUGAUGUGAAAGCCCACGGCUCAACCGUGGAGGGUCAUUGGAAACUGAAAAACUUGAGUGCAGAAGAGGAAAGUGGAAUUCCAUGUGUAGCGGUGAAAUGCGCAGAGAUAUGGAGGAACACCAGUGGCGAAGGCGACUUUCUGGUCUGUAACUGACGCUGAUGUGCGAAAGCGUGGGGAUCAAACA